GCUAAUCCAACAUAGCUAUCAAGUUUGUCAUUUACAUUUUCCGAAAAUGAUACUUCAAAACAAGGACUUAGAUCUAUAUCUCUUCAUUUUCCGAAAAUGAGACUUAAAACGAGGACGACGAAAAGUUAAUGUCUGCUGUAUAUGUGGCAAAAGUUAAUGUAAAGGGACUUCAUCUUCAAUUCACUAAAAGGUUCGUCAAUCAGCCAUUUUAGAUUUGGUUUUGUUUAAAUAUGACUUCUUUGUAAAACAAAGAUUUAGAGACUGGAAACACAAAGUUUUCCUUUAUUAAUGAUGGACUAUUGGUACCAUCCUGGAAUCAUUUCACACAACUGCUGAGUUGGAUAGCUUUAUGACUGGAACAUUAAGUAGGCUCCUGAUCUGCAAUUGUAAGAGAUGCCAAGAGAAAGGCAAGCGGAAAUCUCGUGCCAUUAUGUCCAACAAAGAAGCUAAAGAUAUGCUGCAUACAGGAAAAUUAUUCCAAAAGGAAAGUAGACGAAAUAGUUGAACCUAAAUAUUCAUCUAAGAAGCAAAGAGUAUGCGGCAUACAAGAAAAGGGUCCUGUUGGCCUUCCUUUUCAAGUGACUGGAGGUCUUUCCGCCGGAAGAUCCUGUGCAAUUGAGUGCUGUUCAUUUGGUAACACUUUGGCAGCUUCAAGUCGACAAGAUGACUUGGAUCAAGAAAAGAAGGAGAACAGUACUCUUGAUUAGAAUAUCACAAUGGUUUUGGAUUACAAGGAUGAAAUAAUCUAUAACGAAGCUAAACACGAUCAUGAGAAGAAAUUUAAAGUGAUAUGUUGAAUGCAAGAUCGGUGAACAAACGCGACUAUUUAAACUACAUUCCUUUUAUACUAGUACUUUUCAAGAUGAUACCAUCUAAAAUAAAUUUCAAUUGUAAACUGCAAUGUUACGUAUUAUACUUAAACAAGUAUUGCCCACUCAGUAUUUAUAUCAGAGAAGAUACUGACAUUUUCCAAAUGACCAAUUUAGCCUUUAUUCCUGAUUUUUCCGUGGUCACCAUACCAAAGAGUAGGAAUAACUGGCAAAAAUGACAAGAUGUUUUUUGUAUUGUUUAUUUUAACAUAUUUAUUUUUAUAAAUCUUCUUCAUUUUGAUUUUUUGUAAUAACAACGACUUUAUCAUCUUCAUUGUCAUUUUGUACACAACUUUUCAAUACAGCAUAACGUAUACAAUUAAAGUCGGUAAAAGAUAUUUUAGAGCAAAUAAUAUUGAAUCUACUUUUCUGCUCAAUAACUUAGGAAUAUUUUGACCUAUGAUCCUCAAAUCACAUUUCACACUGCAUGACCUGUUUUAGUUCUGCGGUUAUUAUCCCCCGACAAAAGUCGGAGGGAUAUAGUUUUGGCGUUGUCCGUCCGUCCGUCCGUCCUUCCGUCCGUCUUUCCGUCCGUCCGUCCGUCCGGAGCCAUAUCUAGGAAAUGGUUGGGAAUAUUUAUUUAAAAUUUCAUAUACAUGUUCACCUCUAUGAGUUCUUGCGGCCCGUCGAGUUUCAGUCAGAUUGCCCAAGUAACACCAGAGUUAUGGCCCUUAGAAGUUUCUAGUGUUAACUAUAUAGGGUACUAUAAAUAUGGCAAUUUCUGCAUCAUAACUUUUGAUAUAUUUGACCUACAACUAUGAAACUUAAUCAGAAUUUAGAUCACCAUAAUGUGGUUGUGUACACACAAUUUUAGUCGGAUUUAUUUGUAAAUUAAAGAGUUAUUGCCCUUUAAUUGUAUAAAAAUCCACAUAUUUGUACAUAACAAACUUACCAUUUAGUAGAAUUUCAUUAAAUUUCUUUCAUUCUUUUCCAUGAACAUUUAUUGUAAACAUGUGAAGUUGUGUACCCAUACCUGGUCAUCCCCUUACCUUGAUCACACACCUCCCCCCUAUCCCCCGACCCUCAACACCCCCCCCCCAAAAAAAAAAAUAAUUUUUUUUUAGAUUUUUUUCAAACAAACUUCAUAUACAUGUUCACCACUAUGAGGUUAUGGGGCCCAUCAAGUUUCAGACAGAUUGCCCAAGUAACACCAGAGUUAUGGCCCUUAGAAGUUUCUAGUGUUAACUAAUAUAGGGUACUGUAGAUCUAUAGAUAUGGCAAUUUCUGCAUCAUAACUUUUGAUAUAUUUGACCUAGAACUAUGAUACUUUAACAGAAUUUAGAGCACUAUAAUGUGGUUGUACACAGACAAUUUUUUACGGAUUUCUUUUGUAACUUCAGAGUUAUUGGCCUUAAUUGUCUAAAAAUCCACAUAUUUGUACAUAACAAACUUACCAUUUGGCAGAAUUUCAGUAAAUUUCUUUCAUUCUUUUCUGUGAACAUUCAUUAUAAACAUGUGAAGUUGCGCACCCACACCUGUCACCCACUUGCCUUGGUCACACCCCCUCCCCACCCCCUCCCAAUUUUUUUUUUUCAUUUCUUAUUUUAGAUUUUUUUCAAACCUUCAUUAUAAACAUGUGAAGUUGCGCACCCACACCUGCUCACCCACUCGAAUUUGCUUGUUGAGUUAAAGGUUAAGGUCACAUUGACUGUUAGUAUACAAAACGGUUUCCGCGAAAUAUCUGGAGAACCCUUACCGUAAGUUUCUUCAACUUUGCAGACGAAUUACCAUUGGGCAGUAUAUAACCUGUAUUCACUUUAAGGUCAAUAAAUUAAACGGUAAGGUCCCAAAACUGUUAAUACAAAAAUGUGUUCUGCUCAAUAUCUUCAGAAUGCAUUGACUUUUAAUUCUCAAACUCAGUAGGCUCAUCGUUCGUGUGUAGUGGUUACCCAUAUUGAUAUAAAAGUCAGUGGGUCAAUUAUCAAUGUCACAGGUAUUGUUUAUAACAAAAAUAUUUUCCUUUUAGCAACCCCUACACCUAGCAGCCUUUUUGUCAAGCAUAUUAUAUAUCGCCUCUCAAGAUUUGAAACCUUGCUCGGUGUAAAUAAUCAUUUUACGCAAGGCCAUCUAGCUGAAUUACGAAAGAUCAGUCGCCCAUCCAUGCCUAUAAUACAACUUGGAGGAGCACCUGGGUCUUCAUCCACCAUCAAAAGUUGGAAAGUCGCUAUAUUUCCGAAAAUGUUUAUAAAGCUUUAUUUUUGUAUUAACGAUAGUAUAUUGAAUGUUGAAAUUAUGAGAACACAUGAAAAUUUAUUGAAUAGAUAAUUGUGCCUUGUUUAAUUUCUACACUUCAUUAUAGUUAUACAUAUGUGCGCAAGUACUACAUCUAUUUCUGUUCCAAGACAAAUCAUUUAUAUGCUACUGUAUAUGUUAUGUUUUAAAAUGUUUAUUAACAAUUUUGUAAUAUAUUAUUUUAUGCUGACAAAGUUAUGGCAGCAUGUCUCCAGACUUCAGGUUGUGUACAACAAUUAUGAACAUCUAUAUAUUAUUUCAAAUUUCACACACUGAUAAUGAUAACACACUUGAAUAAAUGCAAUUUGAUAUUUACAAGGUAGUAUCAGUGUCACCAUUAUAUAUAUAUAUAUAUAUAUAUAUAUUAUAUAUAUAUAUAUAUAUAUAUAGUGUUUAAAGGCAGACAAUUAUUCUUAAGCAACAUGUUUUCGUAUAUUUUGUUAGAGAUUUAAGCAACAAAUUAACCCAUUACAUAUUGUUAAAUCCAUAUUACAAAUGUAUUUUAUUGGUUUUUACACAUUUUUAUAAUUUUACACCACAUUUUGAAAUUUUACGAUUUAAUUUUAUAUUUUACUGUUGCAUUGAUUUUGGAAUAUUUCAACAAUCUGAACCAAAAGGCAAGUUUUAAGACUGUGGAUAGUUUCUGAAUUCACUUAUUUCUGAUCUGCAUUGGCUAUGCAAAUAUAAUAAAUAUGCCUCAUAUUUAUAUAAUUUCUAUGGCUAAGUAGUUUUCAAAUUUAUACUUUUGCUAUGUUAGAUCUAUCUUGGUUGGGCAAUCAAAUUUAAAAACAACACUUGUGAAGAACUAACUGUAUUAAGCGCUUAGUGAACAAAAAGUGCGAAUGAUCAGAUGUUAAAGCUUUGAACUAAUUGAUUACUUGUCUCAAAUCUGAUAAAUCAUCUUAACAGUGCUGCCUAAACGCACAUUUAGAUACAUGUAUUUUUACAAUAUUUUAUUUAAUGUUUUAUUGACAUGUUUCAUCUUAACUACAUUAACAUUGUUACAUUUGAACUAGUGUGUUAGUGAGUAUAUCUCAUCUCUGAUGAAGCACAGUUUAGAAAAAACAGCUUAUGCGAUGGAUGAAGUUUUGAAAAUUUCGUACAGGCAGCUGAACAAUUGUACAGAUUGUCCUGUAUAUUUACUUGAUAAAAUUGAAGAUAAUAUGUCAAGAUUUGUUAGUGAACAUAAAUUUAUAUAUGUAAUAAAGUGAAAUAAAAACGAUAAAA